UACAGAGGUCUCAAGCGUUGUUCGGAAUCACUGGGCGUAAAGCGCACGUAGGCGGCUUUUUAAGUCAGGGGUGAAAUCCUGGAGCUCAACUCCAGAACUGCCUUUGAUACUGAGAAGCUUGAGUCCGGGAGAGGUGAGUGGAACUGCGAGUGUAGAGGUGAAAUUCGUAGAUAUUCGCAAGAACACCAGUGGCGAAGGCGGCUCACUGGCCCGGUACUGACGCUGAGGUGCGAAAGCGUGGGGAGCAAACAGG
rnacentral:rRNA from 1 species